rnacentral:rRNA from 1 species
CAGGCCUAACACAUGCAAGUCUGGCGGGCUUCGGGUUUUGGCCUGAGGUCAGUGGCGGACGGGUGAGGAGCGCGUAGGAACGUAUCCAAGGGUGGGGGACAACCGCGGGAAACUGCGGCUAAGACCGCAUGGGGCCUUGCAGGGAGACCUGGGGGCCAAAGCUUGCGAGAGCGAGCGCCCAUGGAGCGGCCUGCGUCCGAUUAGCUUGUUGGUGGGGUGAUGGCCUACCAAGGCGACGACGGAUAGCCGGCCUGAGAGGGCGACCGGCCACACUGGGACUGAGAUACGGCCCAGACUCCUACGGGAGGCAGCAGUGGGGAAUAUUGCACAAUGGGCGCAAGCCUGAUGCAGCAACGCCGCGUGCGGGAUGACGGCCUUCGGGUUGUAAAGCUCUUUCACCGGUGAAGAUAAUGACGGUAAGCGGAGAAGAAGCCCCGGCUAACUUCGUGCCAGCAGCCGCGGUAAU